rnacentral:rRNA from 1 species
GACGAACGCUGGCGGCGUGCCUAAUACAUGCAAGUAGAACGCUGAAGGAGGAGCUUGCUUCUCUGGAUGAGUUGCGAACGGGUGAGUAACGCGUAGGUAACCUGCCUGGUAGCGGGGGAUAACUAUUGGAAACGAUAGCUAAUACCGCAUAAGAGUAGAUGUUGCAUGACAUUUGCUUAAAAGGUGCAAUUGCAUCACUACCAGAUGGACCUGCGUUGUAUUAGCUAGUUGGUGGGGUAACGGCUUACCAAGGCGACGAUACAUAGCCGACCUGAGAGGGUGAUCGGCCACACUGGGACUGAGACACGGCCCAGACUCCUACGGGAGGCAGCAGGAGGGAAUCUUCGGCAAUGGACGGAAGUCUGAACGAGCAACGCCGCGUGAGUGAAGAAGGGUUUCGGAUCGUAAAGCUCGGUUGUAAGAGAAGAACGAGUGUGAGAGUGGAAAGUUCACACUGUGACGGUAUCUUACCAGAAAGGGACGGCUAACUACGUG